UAUUGCAGAAACACCAAAAAUGAUACAGGAUUGGUUACCAUAGCAACAGUGCUUCUUGCACUGCAUGGACCAACAAUCCCUCACUAUUUUAGAGCAUUACAAUGGAUUCAUGCUUUAUAGGACAAAGCUGAUUGGCAAAACCUAAAUAUCCCCCUGGGUAGUGGCAGGACCUGUGCAGGGAGAGUGAUGAACCCCAGCCGGUCCUGAUCCCCCGGGCAGCCGACAUGCACAUCACUCAUACCCGCACAGGCAACGUUCAGGUUCUACUAUUUCAUGUGUAAUAACGUCAUAAUUUCAUAUGUAAUAUGUCACAAUGCAGUGAAAGGUAACCACCUUUCAUUUUGACAAAAAGCACGCAGAGUCUGUCAGCUUCAUCGCAGCAAGGGCAGUUCAAGGGCCAAGCCCGAGCGUGUUUCCAGGCCAACUACCGAUUACGUGCUGCAGUUUGGCAGUAUUUGUUACACCAAAGGGACUCCGUGUACUUCUGUCACAGCCUCCUGCUGCCUCCAGUCUGCCUGAAAACCCUGUAUGACUGACUCCCUCUGCCUCUCUCCUCUGGGGCCACCACCUCACUGAUCUCAAGGGAUGACUGUCUGGAUGGAUCUGUAUUCAUUUGACUUCCUUCGUCUUACUUCUGUACCCAGAGGAGUCACCUAUUACAAAGCACCUACAGGUCUACAGGCGGCAUUUGAAGCAUGCCCCAUUGACCAGUGGCAGCAAAAAGAUUGUCUCUGCAAAUCAACUAAAUGUCAACCACUUUACUAGCAUACAGUUUCUGGAAGCGGCAUAAACCCAAUUUUUCACCCUACCAAGGCAACAAGAUUUUUGUUCUCCUUCUCUCAACUCAGAGCAGCCAACUUCCACCUAAGUGCUGGGAGCCAUGUGAGCACAUCAGGUUCUCAGGGCUUCUUUAGCUUAGCAACAACCCCCCCCCCCCUCCCCCUUUUGCAUGCCAGUGGCAUUGAUUUCACCUCAUCUGCUCACAGAACCUUCUUGUGAUGGACAUCAGCUUCAGCCCAUGCUGCAUGGUUGACAUGCAGAGGAAGGCAUAUGCCAUCUUUCAUGUGGGCUGGUUGCUAUGCUAGCUUCUCCAUGCAGAUGUACCUCUAGACUUCGCUGUGAGAUCCAGUGCUGGAAACAAAUGGCAAUAGCAGGUCUCCUGUGCCUUAGCUCCUGCUUCCAACAAGAUUAUAUGAAGUGGCUCAGGAUCUUCCAAGCAAAAAGAGGACAUCUGCUAAAAACUUACAAUCCCAUAGGAUACACCAGAAAACCUCAGCACCUUGAAAGCACUCUAAAGAGCUGGGGCCAGCUGUGCACUGCUGUGUUAUCUGCUUCCAUCGGGUAUGGGAGCAGUUAUGGGCAUGGAUGGCUGUGAAGUUAGUUAAGGAAAUGAGAGAGAAUCAUGAAAAAGACUAAAGGAAAAAGACUACAGAAAUUACUUCAAAUAUUGCAGUCAUGAGUUUGUAUGCUUGUAUUGUGCCCCAGCCUCCUUUACUUAUUAGUAAUAACUACUCAGCAACAACUCCUAACUUUGGGAAUAGGGAAUAGUUUGAUUAUGUGCAUGUAAAAUCUCCAGCAUUCUGUGCAUGCUAUAUAAAUAAUACAUAGUUUUACUAAUGACAUGCUGAUACGAUUCACAAUUCCACAAUUGUCUUUUUCAUCCUAGCCAAACAGGCAGAUAGAAGCCUCAUCAGUA